UAAGAGGUCCCGCCUGCCCCGUGACUAUAUGUUUAACGGCCGCGGUAUUUUGACCGUGCAAAGGUAGCGCAAUCACUUGUCUUUUAAAUGAAGACCCGUAUGAAUGGCAUAACGAGGGCCUAGCUGUCUCCUUUUUCCAGUCAAUGAAAUUAAUCUCCCCGUGCAGAAGCGGGGAUAAAACCAUAAGACGAGAAGACCCUGUGGAGCUUUAGACAAAAGACGGACCUUGCAAAACAACCCUGAACAAAGGACAAAACACCAAAGGACUCCGCCCAAAUGUCUUUGGUUGGGGCGACCGCGGGGAAAAAUAAAACCCCCACGUGGAAUGGGAGAACAUCCCCCAAAACUAAGAGGUACCCCUCUAAGAAGCAGAAUAUCUGACCAUAAAUGAUCCGGCACAGCCGAUCAACGGACCGAGUUACCCCAGGGAUAACAGCGCAAUCCCCUCCCAGAGCCCAUAUCGACGAGGGGGUUUACGACCUCGAUGUUGGAUCAGGACAUCCUAACGGUGCAGCCGCUGUUAAGGGUUCGUUUGUUCAACG
rnacentral:rRNA from 1 species